rnacentral:tRNA from 1 species
GCCCGAAUGAUCUCCGGUGGUCCGGUGUGCAGGCUUCAAACCUGUAGGCGAUUAGCGUCGCAGUGGUUCGAUUCCACCUUUCGGGU